GGACUACCGGGGUAUCUAAUCCCAUUCGCGACCCACGCUUUCGUGUUAGAGCGUCAGGAGCGGCCCAGUCUCUUGCCUUCGCUUUUGGUGUUCCCCUAGAUAUCAACGCAUUUCACCGCUACACCUAGAGUUCCAGAGACCUCUGCCGUCCUCAAGUUUCGCCGUUUCCCACGCGAGCCUCUCGGUUGAGCCGAAAGAUUUAACGCAAGACUAACGAAACCGCCUACACACCCUUUACGCCCAAUGAUUCCGGAUAACGCUCGAAGCACUCGUAUUACCGCGGCUGCUGGCAC
rnacentral:rRNA from 1 species